UCGAGGGGAAACGGCAUUGAGUGCUUGCACUCUUUGGACGUCGACCGGCGCACGGGUGAGUAACGCGUAUCCAACCUUCCCAUUACUGUGGGAUAACCUGCCGAAAGGCAGACUAAUACCGCAUAGUCUUCGAUGACGGCAUCAGAUUUGAAGUAAAGAUUUAUCGGUAAUGGAUGGGGAUGCGUCUGAUUAGCUUGUUGGCGGGGUAACGGCCCACCAAGGCUACGAUCAGUAGGGGUUCUGAGAGGAAGGUCCCCCACAUUGGAACUGAGACACGGUCCAAACUCCUACGGGAGGCAGCAGUGAGGAAUAUUGGUCAAUGGACGGAAGUCUGAACCAGCCAAGUAGCGUGCAGGAUGACGGCCCUAUGGGUUGUAAACUGCUUUUGUAUGGGGAUAAAGUUAGGGACGUGUCCCUAUUUGCAGGUACCAUACGAAUAAGGACCGGCUAAUUCCGUGCCAGCAGCCGCGGUAAUACGGAAGGUCCAGGCGUUAUCCGGAUUUAUUGGGUUUAAAGGGAGCGUAGGCUGGAGAUUAAGUGUGUUGUGAAAUGUAGACGCUCAACGUCUGAAUUGCAGCGCAUACUGGUUUCCUUGAGUACGCACAACGUUGGCGGAAUUCGUCG
rnacentral:rRNA from 1 species